CGGUCAGGCCGUAAGGAAGUGUCAAGCGUCCUCUCCACGCUCAGCCCAGAGAAGACAGAGGAUGAAGCUGAGACCUUCUUCCCUCAGUACAGUAUGGACCACCAUCCUCCAGAGGGCAGUGAGCCCCUCCUCUUCUCCUCCCGCCUAAAGGAGACUCGGGCCUUUCAUCCCCACUCAAAGGUAGCACUCUUUUCCCAUUCCUCAGUGACACUGGUGGCCAUAGGGGAACAGCCAUGUGACACAUUUCUCCUUCCAAGGCUGGAUGGUCUUAGCAGGAACCUAAUAGCAUCCUGAGCUCUCAAUAACAUGAGGGAGGGCUGCAUGGAGACUCUGGAUUUACAGCCCUGCGAAGGGAUGAGCCAGUAUGUUGCUUCUUGGGAACAGGAGGUGACAAAGUGAAAAGUGAAAGUCAUGAGACCUCAGCUCAGGCGCUCAUAAUGCAAAAAAUGCACUAAGGUCAAGGAAAUCUCAAGCCAACAGAGGAAAGAUAAUCUACAGAUACCAACCUCAAGAUGACACUGAGGUUAGAAUUAUCUGACAAAGACUUCAACGAUGCCUUUAUUAAAAAAAAAAAACACUUCAAGAAGAAUCAUACACUCAUGGGCCUGAGGCAGGAAGGUGGCUGCCUUAAUCACUUUUCAUGGCUGUGAUGAAGCAGGGCUCAAGCAGGAAGAUCACAAAUUCAAGAUUGAUCUAUCUCAAAAACGAAAGAGAGAAAGUCAAGGCGGUUGUGAUGGUGGCUCACACCUUUGGUCCCAGAACUUGGGAGGCAGAGGCAGAGGGAUUGCUGAGUUCAAGGCCAGCCUGGUCACAGAGUGAGUUCCAGGACAGCCAGAGCUACACAGAGAAACCCUGUCUCAAAAAAAUAAAUAAAUAAAU
ensembl:lincRNA Gm29440 predicted gene 29440